rnacentral:rRNA from 1 species
AACGAACGCUGGCGGCAGGCUUAACACAUGCAAGUCGAGCGCCCCGCCAGGGGAGCGGCAGACGGGUGAGUAACGCGUGGGAACGUACCUUUUGGUUCGGAACAACUCCGGGAAACUGGAGCUAAUACCGGAUAAGCCCUAACGGGGAAGGAUUUAUCGCCGAAGGAUCGGCCCGCGUCUGAUUAGCUAGUUGGUAAGGUAACGGCGCACCAAGGCGACGAUCAGUAGCUGGUCUGAGAGGAUGAUCAGCCACACUGGGAGUGAGACGCGGCCCAGACUCCUACGGGAGGGGGCAGUGCGGGAUAUAGGAAAACGGGGGCAGGGCUGAUGGAGUCAUGCCGCGAGAGUGAUGUAGGCCUUAGGGAUGUAAAGCUCUUUUGUCCGGGAAGGUAAUGACGGUACCGGAAGAAUAAGCCCCGGCUAACUUCGUG